ACGAAAUUAAGGGGCCCUGCGGAGCGGCCCGGGCCCACUAGCCGCGCCUCGAGGUCUCUAAAACCGUCAACGAGUGUCGCAAAAGCUCAGUGGUAAUGAAAUUCGGGCCCCUGCACCGAUGCGUGGGGCUAUUCGUUUCCCGAUAUCGCAAAAUCUGUUGAAAAAUCUUCUGGAAUUCCCGAGAAUUUCUCGGAACCAGUCAAAGACCAAGCACAAGUGACUGUUAGAAUUUGACGUGAAAUCCUUUGAAAGUACUUGAAAUUUUGAUACAAGUAAAAACUGCAAGACAUUCGAGGUGAAAUCAUCUGGAAUCGCUUGAAAUCGCAUGCCUCGAGUAAAAUUAUUGGGAAUACAUGGUUGAAUCAUCGAAAUCUUGUAAUCACUUGUCACUUAAUCUGUAAGCGAAUAGCUCCUCGCACCGAUGCUUGCACCGAAAUCGGAGAGGUGUGAAAUUUAUACCACGUCGAUCCCGAAGCCCACGCCUGCAUUCGCGAAGAGACCAGAGAGGAAUCGUCUCCUCGAUCGUUUCACGUAAAACUCGGAUCGUAGAAUAUCUUCAAUGGUUGGAGCUGCGGUCAGGGUGGUGAUAAAUUAGCCCUAAAUAACAGCUGAGUUUGAGAAAACAAAAGGUAAUUUGUUCCCCGGGCACGUCGCUGACAACCAAGGCAACCCUGAAACUCGACUCAGUUUUCAGCCUCCGCUGCAACGGGAUUGCUGCGCUCAGCCAGGGCCAGAGAUCUAUCUCGGAUAGCCAAGGGACGGACAGACGGACGGACCUCGAAGCGGGAUUUUUUAACUCGGUUAACCCCCGCGUGCGACUUUUCGGUAACGUGUACAAUGCGUGUAAUGCUCGGGCGUGUGGAGGUGGCCGGUCGCCGCAGGCAUACCCGGCUCGGUUUUUCAAGGAAACGCGUAUCUGAUUGACCACAAACACCUGGAUAGCAAUGGCAUAAGUCUCUCCCGUAACUCUCCUUCCACCGUUCCACGUAUCAUCCGAAGGCGAUCGUCGAGAGCUGGAUUCCAGCUCUAGGCUGCACCGGACUUAGUGUAGAUUGACGAAGGAGCUCCGAUCCUUGGAUGGGGUCGCCGCGGUUUGACGCAUGGAACAAAUGGUCCUGCGCCUGGAGGCCGGUCCUGCAGCCUGUAGAGAUCUUUAUCUUCAAUGCCGGCGUUUUCUCGGGAUUCAAUCGUGCGCGUCUCUCUUACGACCUGAUCAUGAUCUGCUGCAGGGGCGCAAGUACCUUGGGCUGAAAGAGCUAGUUAGCGAACGUGUCAAGUCACCGCUUCAUUAACGGACUCGACUAAUGGCGGGCAAAGUAGAUCAUUAAUCAUCGGAAUAUGCGCGCAUGUGGACGUGCAGGGUCGAGUGGUAUUGUGGCGUGUUGACGACGUGGAUGCAGGCAGAGCCGAAACCGAACUACACGCACACACAGCUGUGCGCGAAUGGAUUCAUUGAAAGUGAUGAAAUUAAACGAGGCUUAAACCGGUGUAAUGAUUAGCAAGUUGUUGCUGCGCCGUUUGUACGAGAGAGGCCGCGGUGAGGAGGAUAUUGGGUGCAAAUGAAUUUUAAUGACGUCGAAUGCUCGGCCGGGAACCUCCCCGUUCUCCACACAAUGCCCCCCGAUGAUUGAUACAU
rnacentral:lncRNA from 1 species